GAGAGAGAAAGAGAGUGAGGAAUAGGAGGCCGGCGCACGGCAUGGCGGGACUUGUAGUCCGGCGGGAAGGGGCUGGGGAGGCCACGCCCUCCCCCGGGGGGGGCGCGGCGGCGCGGACAGGUGAGGUCCGGCGAGCUGCGUUUAUUUCGAAAGCAGAACGGAGAAGGGGAGAAAAAUGAAACGGCCACCAAAGAGAACAGAUAAAGCCGUGCAAUCCGAGCCACCCUCAGAUGCAGGUUAUGGCGAAUUAAUGAAGCUAUACAGAUGCUGUAUAAAGAGGACCGAUAAUCUACUGAGCCAUGGAAAAGUGACAUGUGGUUUGCGGGAAUAUACGUUUUGAUUUAUUAUUAUGACAGUAUGAUUAUUUUCCUUAGGAUAAAGUUGUUGCUGCAAUAAAGAUAUUACUGUUCUUUA